AUACUUACCCGGCAGGGGAGACGCCAUGAUCACGAAGGCGGUUUUCCCAGGGCGAGGCUCACCUACGGCGCUCCGGACAUGCCGACCCCUGAGAUUUCUGCAAAUGUGGGAAACUUGAUGCAGAAUUUGUGGCAGUGGGGGACUGGGUUCGUGCUCUUCCCCA